GCUAAGGAAGCCCUAAUUUAAAACACAUUUAACUUGUGCUAAGCUUCUUUUUCAUCACAAACAAGAGGGGAAGAAAAAUAAGCUAUGACUAUUUGUCAAAACACAGCGAAAGCAAGUACUGCUAUAGUUCAACACGCUCUAGAACUAGCCAUAAUAACUCUGAGCCUCUCAACAUAAUUAAUGAAGAUAGCUAUUAUAAAUAACUUGGGAAAGAAAAU
rnacentral:lncRNA from 1 species